UCCGUGUUAACCACGGCAGUCUCGUGUGAAAAUCAACACACGAUAAGGGUUGCGCUCGUUACCCCACUGAAGGGAACAUCUUACGACACGAGCUGACGGCAACCAUGCAGCACCUGUCCUACCUGGAGGCUUCCCCGUUUCUGGGGUCGCGUACGAUAGGAUUUCUAAUCUAGGUAAGGUUCCUCGUUUAGCAUCGAAUUAAGCCACACGCUCCACCGCUUGUGCGGGCCCCCGUCUAUUCCUUUGAGUUUUAGUCUUGCGACCGUACUACCCAGGCGGCAAACUUAACGCGUUAGCUUCGACACUGAGAGAGUCGAUUCUCCCAAUGCCUAGUUUGCAUCGUUUACGGCAUGGAUUAC
rnacentral:misc_RNA from 1 species